rnacentral:rRNA from 1 species
AACGAACGCUGGCGGCAGGCUUAACACAUGCAAGUCGAACGCCCCGCAAGGGGAGUGGCAGACGGGUGAGUAACACGUGGGAACAUGCCCAAAGGUACGGAAUAUUCUCGGGAAACUGGGAGCAAUACCGUAUGUGCCCGAAAGGGGAAAGAUUUAUCGCCUUUGGAUUGGCCCGCGUUGGAUUAGCUAGUUGGUGGGGUAAAAGCCUACCAAGGCGACGAUCCAUAGCUGGUCUGAGAGGACGACCAGCCACACUGGGACUGAGACACGGCCCAGACUCCUAUGGGAGGCAGCAGUGGGGAAUCUUGGACAAUGGGCGCAAGCCUGAUCCAGCCAUGCCGCGUGAGUGAUGAAGGCCCUAGGGUUGUAAAACUCUUUCGUGGGGGACGAUAAUGACGGUACCCCAAGAAGAAGCUCCGGCUAACUUCGUGCCAGCCGCCGCAGUAAGAC